rnacentral:snRNA from 19 species
AACGUCGCAUGUUCGAUCCCCAACUAACAUCUUCACAGUAGCAUGGCCCCUGCACUAAGGAUGACACGCUCUUCAAAGAGAAGCUACCAAUUUUU